AUUGAACGCUGGCGGCAGGCCUAACACAUGCAAGUCGAACGAGUGGCGGACGGGUGAGUAAUGUCUGGGAAACUGCCUGAUGGAGGGGGAUAACUACUGGAAACGGUAGCUAAUACCGCAUACCAUCGGAUGUGCCCAGCUGGGAUUUGCUAGUAGGUGGGGUAAAGGCUCACCUAGGCGCCGAUCCCUAGCUGGUCUGUGAGGAUGACAAGACAAAGUGGAACUGAGACACGGGCCAGAAUCCGACGGGAGUGAGCAGGGGGGAAUAGUGGACAAUGGGCGAAAGCCAGAUGCAGCCAUGCCGCGUGUAUGAAGAAGGCCUUCGGGUUGUAAAGUACUGGCAGCGGGGAGGCGUUACCCGCAGAAGAAGCACCGGCUAACUCCGUGCCAGCAGCCGCGGUAAUUC
rnacentral:rRNA from 1 species